GCGCGCCUAACGCAUGCAAGUCGCACGAGAAAGGGCUUCGGCCCCGGUACAGUGGCGCACGGGUGAGUAACACGUGGGUAAUGUUCCCUCAGGCGGGGGAUAACCUUCCGAAAGGAGGGCUAAUACCGCAUAAGACCACGGCCUCGAAAGGGGCUGCGGUAAAAGCAGGCCUCUACAUGUAAGCUUGCACCAGAGGAUCAGCCCGCGGCCCAUCAGCUAAUUGGUAGGGUAACGGCCUACCAAGGCUAAGACGGGUAGCUGGUCUGAGAGGAUGAUCAGCCACACUGGAACUGAGACACGGUCCAGACUCCUACGGGAGGCAGCAGUGGGGAAUCUUGCGCAAUGGACGAAAGUCUGACGCAGCGACGCCGCGUGGGUGAUGAAGGCCUUCGGGUUGUAAAGCCCUGUGGGGAGAGACGAAUAAGUCGGAGCUAAUACCUCCGGCGAUGACGGUAUCUCCUUAGCAAGCACCGGCUAACUCUGUGCCAGCAGCCGCGGUAAGACAGAGGGUGCAAACGUUGUUCGGAAUUACUGGGCGUAAAGCGUGUG
rnacentral:rRNA from 1 species